rnacentral:rRNA from 1 species
UUUUCGGUACCGUAAGGUGGUACCAGAAUAAAGGGCUGGGCAAGACCGGUGCCAGCCGCCGCGGUAAUACCGGCAGCCCAAGUGAUGGCCCGAUCUUAUUGGGCCUAAAGCGUCCGUAGCUGGCCGCGCAAGUCCAUCGGGAAAUCCACCUGCUCAACAGGUGGGCGCCCGGUAGAAACUGCGUGGCUUGGGACCGGAAGGCGCGACGGGUACGUCCGGGGUAGGAGUGAAAUCCCGUAAUCCUGGACGGACCGCCGAUGGCGAAAGCACGUCGCGAGGACGGAUCCGACAGUGAGGGACGAAAGCCAGGGUCUCGAACCGGAUUAGAUACCCGGGUAGUCCUGGCCGUAAACAAUGUCUGCUAGGUGUGGCUCCCACUACGAGUGGGUGC